GACGGUCCUCCAGCGCGGAGACGAUGUCCUAAAACGGAAACACAGCCUCAGUCAACGGCUCAGGCAGACGCUGACCACAGGAGGCCGCCAUGAUGUGAGGAAGCCCAGGCUAUAUGGAGAUGUUUCAGUCGACAACUCCAGCUGAGGUCCCACCUGACAACCAGCAUCAACUGCCAAAUAUGCGAGUGAGCAAGGUGUCAAGAUGAGUCCAACCGCAGUCACUAUCUGACUGCAACGCCAUGAAAGACUCUAAGCAAGAAAUAGCUAGCGGAGCCCAGUCAACCUCCAGAAGAGCAAAAGAGAAUAAGGUGCUUCUUUCUUCGUCUUAAAAAAGGAGAACUCCAGUCUAAGCAUGAGACAAACAUCAGUCAAACCCAUAAUGGGAGACACUCUACAGGACUCCUGACUAGUACUUGUCAAGACUGUCAAGGUCAUAAGAAACAAGGAAAGGCUGAGAAAUGGUCACAGACCAGAAGAGACUGGAGAGACAUGACAACCAAAUGCAAGGUGGUACCUGGACCAAAUCCUGGAACAGAAAAAGGGCAUGACAAGGGACAGCAGUGGGAAAAGUGGUGAAAUUCGAAUCGAGCCUGGAGUUGAGGUAAUAGCACUGUACCAGUGUCAGUUUCCUAGCCUUGACAAAGGUGCCCUGCUAAUGUAAGAUGCUGACAACGGGUGACAAUGGGUGAGGGAUUUGUGGGAACUCUCUGUAUUACCCUUGCUACAGUCCCAUAAACCUGAAAUUAUUCCAAAAUAAAAGAUUUUGAAAAGGAA